rnacentral:lncRNA from 1 species
CAGCCGCAGUCACAGCCUCAGCCGCAGCGGCCGUGCUACCUAGGUGAUAGCGGAGCGGCUGGGUAGGAAGCAAUUGUUCUCAAACUUCACUAGCCCCGUCGGCGCGGACGCUUGUCGAGAAUGCAGAUUCCUGGGUACUGCCAGAUACGGUUGGUGAUCUUGUAGGGCUGGAGUGGAAGCCAUGAAUCUGCAUUUUCAUCAUUUCUGGCCCUCUGCCCGGGCUGGGGUGAUUCACGGGGAUUCGUAGUGGCCCCAAAGGAGCACGCAGAACCUCGGCUGCUGUGCAUUUAUCACCUCUUUUGUUCCCGGAGGCCGCACCCCAGGUCCAGUUUACACAGCUGCCAACUCCUUUUCUUGGUUCCCACUGGAAUCUAGGAAGAAAACUCGCCCUUUACUUCUCCGCCCCACACCCGACGACGGAGUGUCUAGAGGUCUGGUCGGCCUUGGCUGUGCGGAGGGCUAGGCCUGACGAGCGGGCGCUGAUGCGGCGCAGACCCCGCCGGACCUCUUGGUCGGCCCGGGGUAGGCUGGGGAGCCGCGGGAACAGGACUGGAUAGGGAAAGCGGCACCGCAGCGUCCACGGGCAAGCUGAAAGUCCGCUUGAUGUCUUUGCAUCACAGUGGCGCCCUCCCCGCAGGAACGCCCGGCCGCCUGCACCGAACGUUUGCCUGCAGGGAACGGCCAACCCGCCCUGAAAUACUCUUUUUGUGGGCUGCAGCUUUCGGGUAUUUUAAGCCAUGAAUUGAGCAUACCACAAAAAAGUUCUCAUUUUGUGUCCUCCCAUCCCAUUCUCCUCACUAACCAAAGGCUAGGAAUUAUCUGUGAAUGUAGGACCACUGGAUUUGCAGUCUUCAUCUGACACUGUGGAGAGUUUCUAGGAAUGAAACAGAUAUAUGGCCUUGGGUCCCCUUUUUUUUUCUUUUUUUUUUUUUUAAUAGAGACGAGCAUCUCACUAUGUUGCCUAGGGUAGUCUUGAACUCCUGGCCUCAAGCAAUCCCCACCCGACUCCGCCUCUCGAAGUGAUGGGAUUACAGGCAUAAACCACCACGCCUGGCCAGAAGGUGCUUUAACACCAAAUCUGAAAAUUGUUCAGAAGAGAAACAUUGAGCAUGAACACCAUCUGUGCGAGUCAUUUACUUAUUGCCCCUCACCUCUAAAUCUACCUUCUGUACUCUUCUUCCCUGUAAUGAUGGGGCUAGUUGUCCUCAAACUGUUUCUCAGACUUCUUUUUAAGCUUGCUUCCUGUUCAGUUCUGCCAAUAGGGGUCACUAGAGAGAGACUGGGAGGCAGAAGGAGAGAAUAUGCUUCCUGUUUUUUCUGUUCUUGUUAAUGUUGCUUACAGGACCAGCAAUGCUUCUUCACCUAGAGACACUUCUCCCAGCAGUGGCAGUGCCACUUCAGCUUCUUUCAGCACUACUGGAAUCAGCCUCAGUGAUUCCCCCUGUACCCGCUCAGAGAUUAUCCACAGCAGCCAGAUGGUUCUACCUUCCACAAAGAUUGUGGUUGCAAUUCUGGGCUUCUAAGUUCUGGUUACUUCAUAUUUUUCCUUUUGUUCCUCCAGCCCUAGAGGUGGUAGCUGCUUUCUGAAGUUAUUAUUUCUAGAUGACUUUUGGUUUUUCAGCCUUUGUAUUUUGCUUUUCAGCCCUCUAAUGCCUGUAUAACCAAUUUCCCUGUAAUAAAUAAAUUUCCUCCAUUGAAAUAC